AUUGAACGCUGGCGGCAGGCCGAACACAUGCAAGUCGAACGAGUGGCGGACGGGUGAGUAAUGUCUGGGAAACUGCCUGAUGGAGGGGGAUAACUAAUGGAAACGGUAGCUAAUACCGCAUACCAUCGGAUGUGCCCAGAUGGGAUUAGCUAGUAGGUGGGGUAAAGGCUCACCUAGGCGACGAUCCCUAGCUGGUCUGAGGGGAUGACCAGCCACACGAAACUGAGACACGGUCCAGACGCCUACGGGAGGCAUCCGUGGGGAAUAUUGCACAAUGGGCGAAAGCCUGAUGCAGCCAUACCGCGUGUAUGAAGAAGGCCUUCGGGUUGUAAAGUACUUUAAGCGGGGAGGCGUUACCCGCAGAAGAAGCAACGGCUUACUCCGUGCCAGCAGCCGCGGUAAUUC
rnacentral:rRNA from 1 species